rnacentral:rRNA from 1 species
GAUGAACGCUGGCGGCGUGCCUAAUACAUGCAAGUCGAGCGAACAGAUGAGGAGCUUGCUCCUCUGACGUUAGCGGCGGACGGGUGAGUAACACGUGGAUAACCUACCUAUAAGACUGGGAUAACUUCGGGAAACCGGAGCUAAUACCGGAUAAUAUAUUGAACCGCAUGGUUCAAUAGUGAAAGACGGUUUUGCUGUCACUUAUAGAUGGAUCCGCGCCGCAUUAGCUAGUUGGUAAGGUAACGGCUUACCAAGGCAACGAUGCGUAGCCGACCUGAGAGGGUGAUCGGCCACACUGGAACUGAGACACGGUCAAGACUACUACGGGAGGCAGCAGUAGGGAAUCUUACGCAAUGGGCGAAAGCCUGACGGAGCAACGCCGCGUGAGUGAUGAAGGUCUUCGGAUCGUAAAACUCUGUUAUUAGGGAAGAACAAAUGUGUAAGUAACUAUGCCCGUAUUGACGGUACCUAAUAAGAAAGCAACGGCUAACUACGUG